rnacentral:rRNA from 1 species
GAUAAACGCUGGCGGCGCACAUAAGACAUGCAAGUCGAACGGAAGUCGUUAUAAAAAGGAUUGAAGAUUUAUCUGAUUGAGAUUUUAUAACAAUGGCUUUAGUGGCGGACUGGUGAGUAACGCGUGAGCAACCUGCCUACUAGAGGGGAAUAACAGUGAGAAAUCAUUGCUAAUACCGCAUAUGCCAUGAACAUCACAUGAUGAAAAUGGGAAAAGAGUAAUCUGCUAGUAGAUGGGCUCGCGUCUGAUUAGAUAGUUGGUGGGCAACGGCCUACCAAGUCGACGAUCAGUAGCCGGACUGAGAGGUUGAACGGCCACAUUGGGACUGAGAUACGGCCCAGACUCCUACGGGAGGCAGCAGUGGGGAAUAAUUGCACAAUGGGGGAAACCCUGAUGCAGCGACGCCGCGUGAGUGAUGAAGUAUUUCGGUAUGUAAAAACUCUAUCAGCAGGGAAGAUAAUGACGGU